rnacentral:rRNA from 1 species
GUGAGGAAUUUUCCGCAAUGGGCGAAAGCCUGACGGAGCAAUGCCGCGUGAAGGAUGAAGGCCUAUGGGUUGUAAACUUCUUUUCUCAGAAAAGAAUUAUGACGGUAUCUGAGGAAUAAGCAUCGGCUAACUCUGUGCCAGCAGCCGCGGUAAGACAGAGGAUGCAAGCGUUAUCCGGAAUGAUUGGGCGUAAAGCGUCUGUAGGUUGUUUAAAAAGUAGUCUGUCAAAGAUUAGGGCUUAACCCUAGAUAGUCAGAAUAAACUUUUAAGCUAGAGUUUGGUAGAGGCAGAGGGAAUUCCCGGUGGAGCGGUGAAAUGCGUAGAUAUCGGGAGGAACACCAAAGGCGAAGGCACUCUGCUGGGCCAAUACUAACACUGAGAGACGAAAGCGAGGGGAGCAAAUGGGAUUAGAAACCCUUGUAGUCC